UUGGGGAAGAAGAACUGACGGUACCCAAUGAAUCAGCAUCGGCUAACUCCGUGCCAGCAGCCGCGGUAAUACGGAGGAUGCAAGCGUUAUCCGGAAUUAUUGGGCGUAAAGCGUCCGCAGGUGGUUGUACAAGUCUGCUGUUAAAGCGUCCAGCUUAACUGGAUACGGGCAGUGGAAACUGUGCGACUAGAGUUUGGUAGGGGUCACGGGAAUUCCCAGUGUAGCGGUGAAAUGCGUAGAUAUUGG
rnacentral:rRNA from 1 species